rnacentral:rRNA from 1 species
UACACUCCUACGGGAGGCAGCAGUGGGGAAUAUUGCACAAUGGGCGCAAGCCUGAUGCAGCCAUGCCGCGUGUAUGAAGAAGGCCUUCGGGUUGUAAAGUACUUUCAGCGGGGAGGAAGGCGAUAAGGUUAAUAACCUUGUUGAUUGACGUUACCCGCAGAAGAAGCACCGGCUAACUCCGUGCCAGCAGCCGCGGUAAUACGGAGGGUGCAAGCGUUAAUCGGAAUUACUGGGCGUAAAGCGCACGCAGGCGGUCUGUCAAGUCGGAUGUGAAAUCCCCGGGCUCAACCUGGGAACUGCAUUCGAAACUGGCAGGCUAGAGUCUUGUAGAGGGGGGUAGAAUUCCAGGUGUAGCGGUGAAAUGCGUAGAGAUCUGGAGGAAUACCGGUGGCGAAGGCGGCCCCCUGGACAAAGACUGACGCUCAGGUGCGAAAGCGUGGGGAGCAAACAGGAUUAGAAACCCUAGUAGUCCCAUGA